GAUAGUAACGUACAUGAUAUUACGAGUUGCUCGGUCGUACUCUGCGGCGUUUGCCUGUCCAGCGAGCGAACAUAAAAUCAAAGAUGUUAACAUCAUGAGAGAAGAAAUAGCAGUCACUCUCCUCCAACACUGGGGUGAUGGUCGGAUUCACGUUUAUCGUCGAAGGAAUGAGCAUUGCAACAAGGCCUGUACUCUGGAGCGGGAUCGAUUUGUAGGCUGGCAGGUGUGUUUAGGGACAUAUUCAACCAAUCCCUAUCCAGUGUGUUGUCCCCACAUGCUUCAAGGUGACCACCGUUGUUCCUGUUCCCAAGAAAGCAAAGGUCCACUGAUGAUGCAAUCGCCAUCACACUGCACACUGCCCUAUUCCACCUGGAGAAGAGGAAUACCUAUGUAAGAAUUCUG